CCUACGGGGGGCAGCAGUCGGGAAUAUUGCGCAAUGGAGGAAACUCUGACGCAGUGACGCCGCGUAUAGGUAGAAGGGUUUCGGAUUGUAAACUAUUGUCGUUAGGGAAGAUAAAAGACUGUACCUAAGGAGGAAGCCCCGGCUAACUAUGUGCCAGCAGCCGCGGUAAUACGUAGGGGGCAAGCGUUAUCCGGAUUUACUGGGUGUAAAGGGGGCGCAGACGGCGAUGCAAGCCAGGAGUGAAAGCCCGGGGCCCAACCCCGGGACUGCUCUUGGAACUGCGUGGCUGGAGUGCAGGAGGGGCAGGCGGAAUUCCUGGUGUAGCGGUGAAAUGCGUAGAUAUCAGGAGGAACACCGGUGGCGAAGGCGGCCUGCUGGACUGCAACUGACGUUGAGGCCCGAAAGCGUGGGGAGCAAACAGGAUUAGAUACCCGAGUAGUC
rnacentral:rRNA from 1 species